rnacentral:rRNA from 1 species
UGGCGGGAUGCUUUACACAUGCAAGUCGAACGGCAGCACGGACUUCGGUCUGGUGGCGAGUGGCGAACGGGUGAGUAACAUAUCGGAACGUAUCCAAUAAUGGGGGAUAACUAAUCGAAAGGUUGGCUAAUACCGCAUACGCCCUACGGGGGAAAGCAGGGGAUCUUCGGACCUUGCGUUAAUGGAGCGGCUGAUAUCUGAUUAGCUAGUUGGUGAGGUAAAGGCUCACCAAGGCGACGAUCAGUAGCUGGUCUGAGAGGACGACCAGCCACACUGGAACUGAGACACGGUCCAGACUCCUACGGGAGGCAGCAGUGGGGAAUUUUGGACAAUGGGCGCAAGCCUGAUCCAGCCAUUCCGCGUGAGUGAAGAAGGCCUUCGGGUUGUAAAGCUCUUUCGCAAGGGAAGAAAACUUACUUUCUAAUAAAGAGUGAGGUUGACGGUACCUUGAUAAGAAGCACCGGCUAACUACGUGCCAGCAGCCGCGGUAAUACGUAGGGUGCGAGCGUUAAUCGGAAUUACUGGGCGUAAAGCGUGCGCAGGCGGCUUUGUAAGUCAGAUGUGAAAUCCCCGAGCUCAACUUGGGAACUGCGUUUGAAACUACAAGGCUAGAAUAUGUCAGAGGGGGGUAGAAUUCCACGUGUAGCAGUGAAAUGCGUAGAGAUGUGGAGGAAUACCAAUGGCGAAGGCAGCCCCCUGGGAUAAUAUUGACGCUCAUGCACGAAAGCGUGGGGAGCAAACAGGAUUAGAUACCCUGGUAGUCCACGCCCUAAACGAUGUCUACUAGUUGUUGGUGGAGUAAAAUCCAUGAGUAACGCAGCUAACGCGUGAAGUAGACCGCCUGGGGAGUACGGUCGCAAGAUUA